GAGUAUUAUCUUUAACUUGAUUCUUUUCUUUUUACCACGAAAUAGAAAACCAAAAAUACUUCCAUACGCUUCAAAUUGUUCAGAUCUAUAUUGAAGUGAAAAAAUGGCUUGAUCUACUAUGUAUAAGAACUAAUCAACUCUAAAAGAUUGUUCAAGAGACUUUGUGGUUUUAUUAUCAUUAUUUACAUUAAAUUAUUUCUUUAUAUAUAUAUUAUGCGUUUAUUUCAAAUUGUUCUCAAUAUUUUCUUCUAAAUAGUGAUACGCCUACGAUUUCUAAAAAUGGGACCCCUCAAAUUUGGGUGCCUAAAGCGACCUUUUUAAUUGCUUCGCGUUUGAGCCGCCCCUUGCAUCUAUAUAUGAAUAUAAAUCUAAAAUCUAAAACUGGAAAUGAAAAAGGUGAUGUGACACUUCCUAUGUUGAGCAUUAGUAUUUAUCUAAUUUUUCCUUUUUCCUACAUUUUCUUCUUCAUUCUACUAUAGAACAAAUAAACCGGUUAAAAAAAAAAAAGACAUAGUGUUGCUUCUGAAAGGUCACAUUAAUAACGUAAGACUAACCGUUAUGCUUCUGGAGUCGAACCCAAAUAAAUUACAUUUAGUAUAGGCUUUGGUCAGGUCUUUCACCGUAUUUCUUCUCCCUCCAAUAUCCACCAUGGAAAGUGCAUCAAUUCUAAACAAACUGAAGUAUGGGUAUGUCUCCUUAUUCUGUCUUGCAAUAUAGUUCUUCUUCAUUUUCUGAAAUUAUUAACAAUGAUAUGAUUGCUUAAAUAAAAGUAUUGCUAUUCUUCUUUGUAUGUAGUUUCAAUUUUGCAGAAAUGGAGACUUGCCCCCCACCGGAAGUUUUAAUUGCAACGCUUCUUACUAAUUUUCUCCAUCUCAGAGCCAUUUCACUUCUGUGUAGAAGAAUUAUGUCUUCUCCAUUUUCAGUAGAAGCUUUUUAUGAUUGCCUUCAAUUUUAUGUCCUUUUAAUCUACUAUUAGUCAUGACUCACACUAUAACAUUCUUAUGACCAUGUUCCCUCACCUCUAAUUUUUCAUCCAUAUUUCAUAUCCCCAACAAAAACAAAAACAUUGUACCAGGUUCCCUCAACAUUAUGUCAAUUUACAGUAAAAAUGGGAGAUUUUCCAUACAGGACAAGAGUGGGUCUCUGCAAACUUCAAUCUGUUUAUGUGAUGACGCUUCCAACUCUUGAACGGCAUGUAAGCAUUUUUUUGUUGAUCAAUUCUAAUUUUUGAUUGGUUAGGUUUUUAAUUUUGUUAAUCCUUCCACAGUAUUUGCUCUUUAGAUAAUUAAUUUGUCAAUUGUUACAAAAUUUUUGCUAUGUAGGUGGUAGUAUUAUGGCGAAUUUCUCAUUUUACUCUAUUAUGUAUAAUUUCUUUCAAUAUUCCUUCGCAGAAGUAAUUGAGAAAUUGGCUCUUUUAUGCUAGACAGGUACCAUCACCACUGUUUCAUUCGUAUGUUACUGAUACUAAUGAUCCUUCACUGCUUUUGUAACGACCCGACCGGUCGUUUUGAGUAUUAUAACCUCAUUCACCCAUUUACUGUUCAAGUUAUAUUUUACAAUUAUUUUAUAACUUACCGGGUUAGUUGGUUCGGGUCUGGAAGUAUUUCGGAGUGAAAUGAGACACUUAGUCUCAUAAUUAAAAACUUAACUUGAAAAAGUUGACCGGAUGUUGACUUAUAUGUAAACGACCUAGGACUUGAAUUCUGAUGAUUCCAAUAGCUCCGUAUGGUGAUUUUGCACUUAGGAGCGUGUCCGAAAAACUAUUUGAAGGUCCGUAGUGGAAUUAGGCUUGAAAUGGCGAAAGUUAAAUUUUUGGAAAGUUUGACCAGGGAUUGACUUUUUGAUAUCGGGGUCGGAAUUCGAUUCUGGAAAUUUGAAUAGGUCUGUUAUGUCAUUUAUGACUUGUGUGCAAAAUUUGAGGUCAAUCGGACAUAAUUUGAUAGGUUCCGGCGUCGUUUGUAGAAAUUAAAAGUUUCAAAGUUCAUUAGGCUUGAAUCCGUGUGGAAUUCGUGUUUUGAUGUUGUUUGAGAUAAUUUGAGGAUCCGACUAAGUUCGUAUUGGGUUAUAAGACUUGUUGGUAUGUUUGGUUGAGGUCCUGGGGGCCUCGGGUUGAAUUCGGGUGGUUAACGGACUUGGAAGUAGGUUGAAGAAGCAGCUGAAGUUUUGCUGUUGCUGGUGUAAUCGCACUUGCAGAGUGGGAAUCGCAGAUGCGAGCCCGCAGAAGCGGGGAGGGAGCCGCAGAAGCGACCAUGAAGGAUUUGGGUAGAAGCCGCAUAUGGGAGUUGUGGGCGCAGAAGCGCUUGUGCAGAAACGGGAAGAAGGGUGCAGGUGCGGGCAGGCGCGCAGGUACGAUGGAAUUUUCCGUACCGAGGUGCAGAUGCGGUCCAAGGCUUGAGUUACAUGAGAAGAAUUAUCCGGUCCAUGACCUUGAAUUAGCAGCUAUUNNNNNNNNNNNNNNNNNNNNNNNNNAGGUUUAUACCAAUUACCGGAUUCUGCAGCAUCUAUUUAAACAGAAGGAUCUUAAUUUGUGGCAGCAGAGGUGGUUGGAGUUGCUUAAGGAUUAUGAUAUCACCAUUCUUUAUCAUCCUGGAAAGACCAAUGUGGUGGAAGUGGGAGCGUAUUAAAGAGCGAGCUUCAGACACCGGGAGGAUUGCUUCAGAGACUUGAAAUUCCAGAGUGGAAGUGGGAGCAUAUUACCAUGGACUUCGUAGUUGGGCUCCCAUGAAUUUUGAGAAAGUUUGAUAUUGUUUGGGUGAUUGUAGAUCGUUUGACCAAGUAUGCGCAUUUCAUUCCAGUUAGUACUACUUAUUCUUUGGAGUGAUUGGCUAAGAUUUAUAUCCGCGAGAUUGUUCGCCUACACGGGGUGCCCGUGUCCAUCAUUUCGGACCGGGUCACACAGUUUACAUUACAGUUUUGGAGAGCAGCGCAGCGAGAAUUGGGCACACAGGUUCAACUGAGUAUAACAUUUCACCCUCAGACGGACGGACAGUCCAAGCGCACUAUUCAGAUAUUGGAAGAUAUGCUACGCACUUGUGUUAUAGAUUUUGGAGGUUCUUGGGAUCAAUUUCUGCCACUGGCAGAGUUUUCUUACAAUAACAGCUACCAAUUGAGCAUUCAGAUGGAUCUGUAUGAGGCUUUAUAUAGGAGACAGUGUCGUUCUCCGGUGGGUUGGUUUGAGCCGGGUAAGACUAGGCUAUUGGGUACUGAUUUGGUUCAUGAUGCUUUGGAGAAGGUUAAACUGAUUCAGGAGCGGCUUCGCACGACGCAAUCUAGACAGAAGAGUUAUGUCAACCGGAAGUUCCGUGAUGUUACUUACAUGGUUAGGGAGAAGGUUCUGCUCAAGAUUUCGCCCAUAAAGGGUGUGUUGAGGUUCGGGAAGAAGGGCAACUUGAGCCCUCGGUAUAUUGGGCCUUUUGAGGUACUUAAGAAGAUUGGAGAGGUGGCUUAUGAACUUGCUUUUCCACCUAGUCUAUCAGGUGUUCAUCCAGUGUUCCAUGUAUCCAUGCUCUGAAAGUAUGUCGGGGAUCCGUCUCAUAUAUUGGAUUUCAGUGCAGUGCAGCUGGAUGGUGAUUUGACUUAUGAUGUGGAGUCGGUGACUAUUUUAGACCGACAGGUUCGAAAGCUGAGGUCAAAGAACAUAGCAUCAGUGAAGGUACGGUGGAGAGGCCAGCCAGUCGAAGAAUCUACUUGAGAGAUUGAACAGGAGAUGCAGAGCAAAUAUCCGCACCUAUUUGAGACUCCAGUUAUGAUUCUAAACUCGUUCGGGGACGAACAUUUAUUUAAGAGGGGGAGAAUGUAAUGACUCGGCCGGUCGUUUUGAGUAUUAUAACCUCGUUGCCCCAUUUACUGCUCAAGUUAUGCUUUACAGUUAUUUUAUAACUUACCGGAUUAGUCGGUUCGGGUCCAGAAGGAUUUCGGAGUGAAAUGAGACAUUUAGUCUCAUAAUUGUAAACUUAAGUUGGAAAGGUUGACCGGAUGUUGAUUUAUGUGUAAGCGACCUUGGAUUUGAAUUAUGAUUAUUCCAAUAGCUCUGUAUGGUAAUUUUGAACUUAGGAGCAUGUCCGAAAAAUUAUUUGAAGAUCCGUAGCGGAAUUAGGCUUGAAAUGGUGGAAGUCGAAUUUUUGGGAAGUUUGACCGGGGGGAUGAGUUUUUGAUAUCGGGGUCGGAAUUCGAUUUUGAAAAUUUGAACAGGUCCGUUAUAUCAUUUAUGACUUGUAUGCAAAAUUUGAGGUCAAUCGGACAUGAUUUGAUAUGUUCCGGCGUCGUUUGUAGAAAUUGGAAGUUUCAAAGUUCAUUAGGCUUGAAUCCGUGUGGAAUUCGUGUUUUGAUGUUGUUUGAGGUAAUUUGAGGGUCCGGCUAAGUUUUUAUUGGGGCCUCGAGUUGAAUUCGGGUGGUUAACGGACUUGGAAGUAAGUUAAAGAAGCAGAUGAAGUUUUGCUGCUGCUGCUGCUGCUGGUGUAAUCGCACCUGCGGAGUGGGAACCGCAGGUGCGAGCCCGCAGAAACGGGGAGGGAGCCGCAGAAGCGGUGGAUUUGGGCAGGGGCCGCAGAUGCAGACUUGUGGGCGUAGAAACGCUUGAACAGAAGCGGGAAGAAGGGCGCAGGUGCGGGCAGGCGCGCAGGUGCGAUGGAAUUUUCCGCACCUGUGAAGGCACAGAUGCGGUCCAAGGCUCGCAGAAGAGGAGGCAGUUGGGCUAAGUGACUUCCGCAGAUGCGGUGUUUUCAUUGCUGAAGCGGGACCGCAGAUGCAGAAAUAUGGUUGCAGGUGCAAAAGCACUGGGCAGUGUACAAAACAGAAGGGUCCGAGAGAUUUUGUCUUUUUUGACAUUUUCAAUAGCGGGUGAGGCGAUUUUUGAGCGAGAAAUCAUGGAAAAUCUUGAGGUAAGUCACUUAUGAUCAUUUCUACUCCAUAAUAUUGAAUUAUCAUCGAAUAAUCUGACUAGAUUACAUGUUUUUGAGGUGUAAAUCGGGAAUUUGAACUUAGGAAUUUGAAAAUAUGAUUUGAAGAUUUGGAGGCCGAGUUGAGGUCGGAUUUUGGUAAAAUUGGUAUGGUUAGACUCGUGGUUGAAUGGGCUUUCGGGUUUCAUAUUUUUUGUCGGGUUUAGAGACGUGGAGCCCACGGGCGAUUUUUGAGCUAAAUUUCGGAUUUUGUUGGAGAAUUAGUAUUUUCUUAUGGAAUUAAUUCCAAUAAAUUUUAUUGACUGAAUCAAAUUAUUUGUGGCUAGAUUCAAGCCAUUUGGGGGCCAAUUCACGAGGCAAAGGCAUAGCAGAAUAAAGAAUUACACGGUUUGAGGUAAGUAACAGUUCUAAAUUUGGUCCUGAGGGUAUGAAACUCCGGAUUAUGUGUUAUGUGAUCGGUUUUGAGGUGACGCACAUGCUAGGUGACGGGC
rnacentral:lncRNA from 1 species